UACGGAGGGUGCAAGCGUUGUCCGGAAUCAUUGGGUGUAAAGGGUGCGUAGGCGGGAGCCUAAGUCUGUGGUGAAAUCUUGCCGCUUAACGGUAAAAUUGCCAUAGAUACUGGGUUUCUUGAGUACAGAAGAGGUCGGUGGAAUUCGUAGUGUAGCGGUGAAAUGCAUAGAUAUUACGAAGAACAUCAGUGGCGAAGGCGGCCGGCUGGACUGUAACUGACGCUGAGGCACGAAAGCGUGGGGAGCGAACAGG
rnacentral:rRNA from 1 species